rnacentral:rRNA from 1 species
CAGUCGCCGCGGUAAUUCGUAGGGUGCGAGCGUUAAUCGGAAUUACUGGGCGUAAAGCGUGCGCAGGCGGUUCGUUAAGACAGAUGUGAAAUCCCCGGGCUUAACCUGGGAACUGCAUUUGUGACUGGCGAGCUAGAGUAUGGCAGAGGGGGGUAGAAUUCCACGUGUAGCAGCGAAAUGCGUAGAGAUGUGGAGGAAUACCGAUGGCGAAGGCAGCCCCCUGGGCCAAUACUGACGCUCAUGCACGAAAGCGUGGGGAGCAAACAGGAUUAGAUACCCCAGUAGUCCCUGUCUCUUAUAC